AUAUUUUUACAUAGUUACAAUGUAUAUGUAAAAUUUCAAAUAAUACCUGGGACUGGUGCACCUGUUCUUGUUAGAUUUCAUUCAACUGUCAAAUAAUAAGUGCUAUUCAUCAUCUUGUGGUUUUUCUUUUCUUUUCUUUUCUGUGAUCGUUUUUGUAGAAAUUCUGAGCAAGUCAUUUGAAAUAAAAUAUUUUUGAU
rnacentral:misc_RNA from 1 species